GUCCUAAACUUGCCAUUGUUUUUUAUCAAAUUUACACAUGCAAGCUUCAACAAACCAGUGAGAAUGCCCUAAACCCCUAAACAGCCAAAAGGAGCGGGCAUCAGGAACACAAAGAACCUUUAGCCGAUGACGCCUUGCUACGCCACACCCACACGGGUACUCAGCAGUGAAUAACAUUAAAACAUAAGCGAAAGCUUGACUUAGUUAUGAUAAAUAUGGUUGGUAAAUUUCGUGCCAGCCACCGCGGUUACACGAAAAACCAAAAACAAUGACCAACGGCGUAAAAAGUGACCUGAGUCACGCCAACAACUUAAAGAAAAACCAUCACAAAAUCGUAAAACAUUUGUUCAUGGGACCUCCAACAACAAAAUGACUUUAAACCAAAGGCCACUUACUCUCACGAAAGCUAAGAAACAAACUAGGAUUAGAUACCCUACUAUGCUUAGCCCUAAACAUAGACAGUACAAACACAAUACUGUCCGCCAGAGAACUACAAGUGAAAAACUAGAAACUCCAAGGACUUGGCGGUGCCCCACAUCAACCUAGAGGAGCCUGUCCUAUAAUCGAUAACCCACGCUGUACCUUACCAUUUCUAGCAACUCAGCCUAUAUACCGCCGUCGAAAGCUUACCUUGUGAAAGAAACAAAGUAAGCAAAACAGUCAACAACUAAAACGUCAGGUCAAGGUGUAGCACAUGAAAUGGCAGAGAUGGGCUACAUUUUCUACCCUAGAAAACACGAACAGCACAAUGAAAUCUGUACUCAAAGGCGGAUUUAGCAGUAAGGUAAAAAAGAAACUUUACCUUAAACCCGCUCUGGGGCGCGCACACACCGCCCGUCACCCUCAUCACCAUGCACUAAACCACAAAAUAUAACCC
rnacentral:ncRNA from 1 species